rnacentral:rRNA from 1 species
AACGAACGCUGGCGGCAGGCUUAACACAUGCAAGUCGAGUGCCCCGCAAGGGGAGCGGCAGACGGGUGAGUAACGCGUGGGAAUCUACCCAUCUCUACGGAAUAACGCAUGGAAACGUGUGCUGAUACCGUAUACGUCCUUCGGGAGAAAGAUUUAUCGGAGAUGGAUGAGCCCGCGUUGGAUUAGCUAGUUGGUGGGGUAAAGGCCUACCAAGGCGACGAUCCAUAGGUGGUCUGAGAGGAUGAUCAGCCACACUGGGACUGAGACACGGCCCAGACUCCUACAGGAGGAAGCAGUGGGGAAUAUUGGACAAUGGGCGCAAGCCUGAUCCAGCCAUGCCGCGUGAGUGAUGAAGGCCCUAGGGUUGUAAAGCUCUUUCACCGGUGAAGAUAAUGACGGUAACCGGAGAAGAAGCCCCGGCUAACUUCGUGCCAGCCGCCGCGGUAAAAC